rnacentral:rRNA from 1 species
AAUGAACGCUGGCGGCAUGCCUUACACAUGCAAGUCGAACGGUAACAGGUCUUCGGAUACUGACGAGUGGCGAACGGGUGAGUAAUACAUCGGAACGUGCCCGAGAGUGGGGGAUAACGAGGCGAAAGCUUUGCUAAUACCGCAUACGAUCUCAGGAUGAAAGCAGGGGACCGCAAGGCCUUGCGCUCACGGAGCGGCCGAUGGCAGAUUAGGUAGUUGGUGGGAUAAAAGCUUACCAAGCCGACGAUCUGUAGCUGGUCUGAGAGGACGACCAGCCACACUGGGACUGAGACACGGCCCAGACUCCUACGGGAGGCAGCAGUGGGGAAUUUUGGACAAUGGGCGCAAGCCUGAUCCAGCCAUGCCGCGUGCAGGAUGAAGGCCUUCGGGUUGUAAACUGCUUUUGUACGGAACGAAAAGACUCUGGUUAAUACCUGGGGUCCAUGACGGUACCGUAAGAAUAAGCACCGGCUAACUACGUGCCAGCAGCCGCGGUAACAC